rnacentral:rRNA from 1 species
UUGGUUAAGUUAGAAAGGGCGCACGGUGGAUGCCUUGGCACUAGGAGCCGAAGAAGGACGGGACUAACACCGAUAUGCUUUGGGGAGCUGUACGUAAGCGUUGAUCCAGAGAUUUCCGAAUGGGGGAACCCACUAUCUUUAGUCGGAUAGUAUCCUUACGUGAAUACAUAGCGUGAGGAAGGCAGACCCAGGGAACUGAAACAUCUAAGUACCUGGAGGAAGAGAAAGAAAAAUCGAUUUCCUGAGUAGCGGCGAGCGAAACGGAAAGAGCCCAAACCAAGAAGCUUGCUUCUUGGGGUUGUAGGACACUCUAUACGGAGUUACAAAAGAAAGUUAUAAAUGAAGCGGUCUGGAAAGGCCCGCCAAAGACGGUAACAGCCCGGUAGUUGAAAUAGCUUUCCCUCCAGAGUGGAUCCUGAGUACGGCGGAACACGUGAAAUUCCGUCGGAAUCCGGGAGGACCAUCUCCCAAGGCUAAAUACUCCCUAGUGACCGAUAGUGAACCAGUACCGUGAGGGAAAGGUGAAAAGCACCCCGGAAGGGGAGUGAAACAGUUCCUGAAACCGUGUGCCUACAAGUAGUUAGAGCCCGUUAAUGGGUGAUAGCGUGCCUUUUGUAGAAUGAACCGGCGAGUUACGAUUUGUUGCAAGGUUAAGCGGAAAAAGCGGAGCCGUAGCGAAAGCGAGUCUGAAUAGGGCGCAUAAGUAACAGGUCGUAGACCCGAAACCAGGUGAUCUACCCAUGUCCAGGAUGAAGGUAAGGUAAUACUUACUGGAGGUCCGAACCCACGCACGUUGAAAAGUGCGGGGAUGAGGUGUGGGUAGCGGAGAAAUUCCAAUCGAACUUGGAGAUAGCUGGUUCUCUCCGAAAUAGCUUUAGGGCUAGCCUCGAGGUAAAGAGUCAUGGAGGUAGAGCACUGUUUGGACUAGGGGCCCUUCUCGGGUUACCGAAUUCAGAUAAACUCCGAAUGCCAUGUACUUAUACUCGGGAGUCAGACUGCGAGUGAUAAGAUCCGUAGUCGAAAGGGAAACAGCCCAGACCACCAGUUAAGGUCCCCAAAUAUAUGUUAAGUGGAAAAGGAUGUGGGGUUGCUUAGACAACCAGGAUGUUGGCUUAGAAGCAGCCACCAUUGAAAGAGUGCGUAAUAGCUCACUGGUCGAGUGACCCCGCGCCGAAAAUGUACCGGGGCUAAACAUAUUACCGAAACUGUGGAUGAACCUCUUCGGAGGUUCGUGGUAGGAGAGCGUUCUAAGGGCGGUGAAGUCAGACCGGAAGGACUGGUGGAGCGCUUAGAAGUGAGAAUGCCGGUAUGAGUAGCGAAAGAAGGGUGAGAAUCCCUUCCACCGAAUAUCUAAGGUUUCCUGAGGAAGGCUCGUCCGCUCAGGGUUAGUCGGGACCUAAGCCGAGGCCGAUAGGCGUAGGCGAUGGACAACAGGUAGAGAUUCCUGUACCAGUGCUAAUUGUUUAACCGAUGGGGUGACACAGAAGGAUAGGGAAUCGCACGAAUGGAAAUGUGCGUCCAAGCAGUGAGUGUGAGAAGUAGGCAAAUCCGCUUCUCGCGAAGCAUGAGCUGUGAUGGGGAAGGAAAUAAAGUACGGAAGUUCCUGAUUUCACGCUGUCAAGAAAAGCCUCUAGGAAGAGUAGUACUGCCCGUACCGCAAACCGACACAGGUAGAUGAGGAGAGAAUCCUAAGGUGAGCGAGAGAACUCUCGUUAAGGAACUCGGCAAAAUGACCCCGUAACUUCGGGAGAAGGGGUGCUCUAUUAGGGUGCAAGCCCGAGAGAGCCGCAGUGAAUAGGCCCAGGCGACUGUUUAGCAAAAACACAGGUCUCUGCAAAACCGUAAGGUGACGUAUAGGGGCUGACGCCUGCCCGGUGCUGGAAGGUUAAGAGGAGUGCUUAGCUUCGGCGAAGGUACGAAUUGAAGCCCCAGUAAACGGCGGCCGUAACUAUAACGGUCCUAAGGUAGCGAAAUUCCUUGUCGGGUAAGUUCCGACCCGCACGAAAGGCGCAACGAUCUGGGCACUGUCUCAACGAGAGACUCGGUGAAAUUAUAGUACCUGUGAAGAUGCAGGUUACCCGCGACAGGACGGAAAGACCCCGUGGAGCUUUACUGCAACCUGAUAUGGAAUGUUUGUACCGCUUGUACAGGAUAGGUAGGAGCCGAAGAGACGUGUGCGCUAGCAUACGAGGAGGCAAUGGUGGGAUACUACCCUGGCUGUAUGACCAUUCUAACCC